GUGCUUGCUUUGGCAGUAUACAUGCUUAAUAAAAAAAAAAGUAUAUAGAUUAGCUUGGUCCCUAUACAAGGAUGACACAUUCAAAUUGUGAAGCACUCCAUGCUUUA
rnacentral:snRNA from 1 species